GGCUGAUGCAAGUGCAGUGGUAUUUACAACUAAUUGAUCACAACCAGUUUCUAGAUUUCUUUGUUCCUUCUCCAUUCCCACUGCUUCACUUGACUAGUCUUGA
rnacentral:Y_RNA from 1 species